GCCCCUUCUCUUAUUUCACUCGGUAGAAAUUUCUUUCAGUCUUGCUUUUCUAUCUCAAAUGGCUCGUUUCCUUCCCUUUCUCUUCCUCCUCCUACAUGCAACCAUGGCUGCUGCCUUUCAAUUGGAACCUGGUUUUUACUCUCAAACAUGCCCAAAUGCUGAAAACAUCGUAAGGAAAGUGAUGAAGCAGGCCUUGAAGAGAGAACCCAGAAGCGUGGCGUCGGUCAUGCGGCUUCAAUUCCAUGAUUGUUUCGUUAAUGGUUGCGACGCUUCUUUGUUACUAGAUGACACUCCAAACAUGUUAGGUGAGAAGCUGGCGUUAUCAAACAUCAACUCCCUUAGAUCAUAUGAGGUGGUCGACGAAGUUAAAGAAGCCCUUGAACGGGCCUGCCCUGGUGUCGUCUCCUGCGCGGACAUCAUAAUCAUGGCUGCUAGAGACGCUGUUGAAUUGACCGGCGGACCAAACUGGAAAGUGAAAUUGGGACGCAAAGACAGCCUUACUGCGAGCCAAGAAGACUCAAACCAAAUCAUGCCAAGCCCGCGAGCCAACGCCAGCACUCUCAUCAAUCUCUUCAGCAAAUUCAAUCUCUCCAUCACUGAUCUGGUCGCGCUGUCAGGGUCCCACUCAAUUGGGGAAGGCCGAUGCUUCUCCAUCGUCUUCCGCCUCUACAACCAAUCCGGCACAGGCCGGCCUGACCCCUACAUGGACCCACACUUCCGCCAGAAGCUCGAUUGCCUCUGCCCUCUCGGAGGAGAUGGGAAUGUGACUGGGGACCUUGAUGCCACUCCACGCAUCUUCGAUAACCAAUACUUCAAGGACUUAGUUAAUUUGAGAGGCUUCCUCAAUUCAGACCAGACCUUGUUCUCAGGUGACACUCAGACAAGGGAAGUGGUUCAGUAUUUUAGCCAGAACCAAAGUGCAUUCUUCUCUGCUUUUAUUGAAGGUAUGGUGAAAAUGGGAGACUUACAAUCCGGGCGGCCCGGUGAAAUUCGGAGGAAUUGCAGAGUGGUUAACAGCCUGGAGUCAGAGCAGUAUCUUGUUCGGAAUUUGAAAGAUAGAAAACUGCAAUCUGCAGUUGAGAAUCAGUAAGUAGAAUAGUCAGCAACUUCGCUUGCAUUUGAUGAACUUCGCUGAUGCUUUGCUUCCCAGAAAGCCUCCUUUUUCACAUGGUCCAACCAGGCAGGCCUCAACGGAAGAAGGGUCUGGACAAAAAAACCACCGGUCCGGUUAUGAGUACUAUAAACCAAUAUACUCCCAUUCCAUCAAGUGGGCCCCAUGGUUUGCUGAUCCAGAUGGUUGAUUUGGUGGACCCACUAUGUAUGAGGGAAGCCACACACUCUCCAAACCUUUCAGCUAAUGUCCUACCAAUAGAUAGUUAACAGAAAUGUGCAUGAAGUGUCAAAAAUAAAGCCCAAAAAUUGAAGGGCAGGAAUUUCCCA